rnacentral:rRNA from 1 species
UACGUAGGGUGCAAGCGUUGUCCGGAAUUAUUGGGCGUAAAGAGCUCGUAGGCGGUUCGUCGCGUCGGCUGUGAAAACCCGGAGCUCAACUCCGGGCCUGCAGUCGAUACGGGCGGACUGGAGUUCGGCAGGGGAGACUGGAAUUCCUGGUGUAGCGGUGAAAUGCGCAGAUAUCAGGAGGAACACCGGUGGCGAAGGCGGGUCUCUGGGCCGCAACUGACGCUGAGGAGCGAAAGCAUGGGGAGCGAACAGG